CAACUUUUUAUAGUUGACCUCGAAUCAGGUAGGACU
rnacentral:rRNA from 1 species